rnacentral:rRNA from 1 species
AUUGAACGCUGGCGGCAGGCCUAAAACAUGCAAGUCGAGCGGAGCGGCGGACGGGUGCGUAAGGCCAAGGAAUCUGCCUGGUAGCGGGGGAUAACGUCAGGAAACGGACGCUAUUACCGAAUACUAGCAGAUGCGCCUAGGUCGGAUUAGCUAGUUGGUGGGGUAAAGGCCAACCAAGGCGAAGAUCCGGAACUGGUAUGAGAGGAUGAGCAGUCACACUGGAACUUAGACACGGUCCAGACUCCUACGGGAGGCAGCAGUGGGGAAUAUUGGACAAUGGGGGAAAUCCUGAUCCAGCCAUGCCGCGUGUGUGAAGAAGGUCUUCGGAUUGUAAAGCACUUUAAGUUGGGAGGCGUUACCAACAGAAUAAGCACCGGCUAACUUCGUGCCAGCAGCCGCGGUAAUUC